rnacentral:miRNA from 1 species
AAAUGCCAGUCAUUGACGGAAU